CGACCUGAGAUCAGACGAGAU
rnacentral:rRNA from 3 species